rnacentral:rRNA from 1 species
UACGUAGGGGCCUAGCGUUGUCCGGAUUUAUUGGGCGUAAAGAGCUCGUAGGCGGUUUGGUGAGUCGGGUGUGAAAUCUCCACGCUCAACGUGGAGGAGCCACCCGAUACUGCCAUGACUAGAGUCCGGUAGGGGAGUGUGGAAUUCCCGGUGUAGCGGUGAAAUGCGCAGAUAUCAGGAGGAACACCCGUAGCGAAGGCGGCACUCUGGGCCGAUACUGACACUGAGGAGCGAAAGCGUGGGGAGCGAACAGG